rnacentral:misc_RNA from 1 species
GGAGUGAGAUGGUAAUGCUGAGCAUGGUAAUUAACCUGACAUUGGCGGCGUAGAACAAUGCAAGGAUGUGCCAGUACAUUUUCUGUAAAGAGACUUGCAAGUCCAAUACCAAAUCCAGCAAAUCUAUUCAGCUGUUCACUGCUCUGCCCCUGCACACUGCCGCCGCCGCCACUGGAAAAGGGUUCCUCCGUGGGGCCUUCGUACGGG